ACCCGUGUUUGUAUGUGUUAUGGGCUUGGGACCGAGCUUAGCCUUGUUCAUUUUUUUACACAAUAGGGAUGUAAAAAAUCAAACACGCCCUACUGAACAGCCCGCCAGCCAAGGCUUUCCGAGCGCCUAAAGCGACCUGAAACGCCCCAUAAAUGGCCUAUCAGCGCUG
rnacentral:sRNA from 1 species